AGACCCGAAACCCGGUGAUCUAGCCAUGGGCAGGUUGAAGGUUGGGUAACACUAACUGGAGGACCGAACCGACUAAUGUUGAAAAAUUAGCGGAUGACCUGUGGCUGGGGGUGAAAGGCCAAUCAAACCGGGAGAUAGCUGGUUCUCCCCGAAAGCUAUUUAGGUAGCGCCUCGUGAAUUCAUCUCCGGGGGUAGAGCACUGUUUCGGCUAGGGGGCCAUCCCGGCUUACCAACCCGAUGCAAACUGCGAAUACCGGAGAAUGUUAUCACGGGAGACACACGGCGGGUGCUAACGUCCGUCGUGAAGAGGGAAACAACCCAGACCGCCAGCUAAGGUCCCAAAGUCAUGGUUAAGUGGGAAACGAUGUGGGAAGGCCCAGACAGCCAGGAUGUUGGCUUAGAAGCAGCCAUCAUUUAAAGAAAGCGUAAUAGCUCACUGGUCGAGUCGGCCUGCGCGGAAGAUGUAACGGGGCUAAACCAUGCACCGAAGCUGCGGCAGCGACGCUGAUGCGUUGUUGGGUAGGGGAGCGUUCUGUAAGCCUGCGAAGGUGACCUGUGAGGGUUGCUGGAGGUAUCAGAAGUGCGAAUGCUGACAUAAGUAA
rnacentral:rRNA from 1 species